rnacentral:rRNA from 1 species
UUCCUACGGGAGGCAGCAGUAGGGAAUAUUGGGCAAUGGAGGCAACACCCAGCCAUGCCGCGUGCAGGAAGAAGGCCUUCUGGGUUGUAAACUGCUUUUAUAUAGGAAGAAAAAACUCUUGCGAGAGGAACUGACGGUACUAUAGGAAUAAGCACCGGCUAACUCCGUGCCAGCAGCCGCGGUAAUACGGAGGGUGCAGCGUUGUCCGGAUUUAUUGGGUUUAAAGGGUGCGUAGGCGGCCCGGUAAGUCAGUGGUGAAAGCCUCCAGCUCAACUGGAGAACUGCCAUUGAUACUGCCGGGCUUGAGUACAGACGAGGUAGGCGGAAUUGAUGGUGUAGCGGUGAAAUGCAUAGAUACCAUCAAGAACUCCGAUUGCGUAGGCAGCUUACUAGGCUGUAACUGACGCUGAGGCACGAAAGCGUGGGGAGCGAACAGGAUUAGAUACCCUGGUAGUCCACGCCCUAAACGAUGGAUACUCGAUGUGUGCCCAUUUUAGGGUAUGCGUCCAAGCGAAAGCAUUAAGUAUCCCACCUGGGGAGUACGGUCGCAAGAUUAAAACUCAAAGGAAUUGA